rnacentral:lncRNA from 1 species
AGCAGCUUCCUCUUUCUUUUCGCUCUGUCGGCGGCAGGUAAGGGUUAAGGACUAAUCGCUGCCUGGAAUCCAUUUUCAAUCCCUGGGAUUUUUUUGUCAUCCGUAUAAUUAUAGUUUGGGAAAGAACUGCNAUAGCAAGGGGGAGGUAUACGACGGCAAGCAUUUUGGUCUGGGGUUAUUGCUUUGCUUGCUCUUUAGCAUGGGUUUGGGGGGAANAACUGGGCCAGAAUUUCUCCUGUGCGGGAAUUGCACGCUGGUGGGCAUUUCCUGCUCAGCUUCUCGUUCGCUUUCCUUUCCUCGUGUAAUUUUAUUAUGCUGGAGGAUGAAAGGAGGCGAGAUGUUCAAGUGAAUUCCUGCAGGGGUUUGUGGCUGGGGGGGCACUAAAGGGGAAAUGGGGUUCCUUCCAGCUUCUUAUUGAACUGAUAAUUCAUAUAGAUAUUAAUAUGGAUUGCACCUGCCUCAUUAAUUGACUCCUGAAGCAGAGUCCUUUAUUUGAGGCAGCAAAAUUAGCAGACUGGUAUUUUGGUUAGAACAAAGUUGUUAUUUUAAAAUGCACUGACAAUAUUUAUGNUUUUUUUUUCUUGCCAGUUUACCAGCACGCCCUACAUUUUAAAAAAAAAUACAUAAAUAGUGCAAAAAAAAAGUCCCUCCUAUUAGGAGUAGCUAAUAAAUUUAAGAUAGUAAUAUAGUCUAAACCAGUGUUUCUCAACCUUUUUCUGACUGUGGCCCCUUUCUGACCUUGUUUCCUUCCUGUGGCCCGCCUGUCCUACCAGGUGCGGAUAUGGGAGGGAGAAGAAAGCCCCCUGUAGGCCCCCUUGGAAUAUCCUGGGGGCCCAUAGGGGGCCAUAAGGCUCCCGGUUGAGAAACGCUGGUCUAAACUUUUCAUACGUUGGUAUGCUUCCUCUACUUCAGUUUUUUAUAUUGGCAGAUUUCAGAAGCAAAAGAUUGAUUCAAUUAUUGCAUGUUCUCUUAAUUCUACCCACUCCUCUUUUUUUUUUUUUCAAGCAGCCUGGGGAAAAAAUGAAUGGCCAUCGCUUAAGAUGUCCGCUUUAUCAGAGUGUUUCUCUGAUGAGGAAGGCACAUGUCAGGUGGGAGCAUCAAAUUUUCUUGCUGCAUGUACAUUUAGGCCGUGGAUAUGGAGGAGAAUGA